UCACUCUCAGAUGUGAGAUUAAGGGAGGUGAAGGAAAGGUGUGGAAAUAUGAAUGGACAGCACCCAACACAAACAGCCCUCCAACAUCCAGUGAAUACAGGAUCAGCAGAGUUUCAGUGUCCCACAGUGGAGACUACAGAUGUCGGGGUAGCAGUGACUAUCUCUUAACAGGAUGGAGUGAUGCCUUCAGAGUGACAGUUUCAGCAAGUAAACCCAGAGCCACACUGACAGCACACAGUUCAGUCAUACCAGCAGGGGGCAGUGUGACACUGAGCUGCUCUGUGGAGGACUCUGCUGGCUGGAAGUUUGACUGGUUCAGACGUGAUUCACAGUUUUCUGGAGCUCAGAAAAUAGGAGCUGGAACAUCAGAGCACACUAUCAGUAUUUCAGAAGGAGGCAUCUAUUACUGCAGAGGAGGGAGAGGAGAUCCAGUUUUCUCCACAGAGGACAGUGCUCCAGUUACAAUUCAGAAAAAAGUUUUGGCUGCUGUGAAACUGCAGCACAGCUGGUCUCAGAU